rnacentral:rRNA from 1 species
GGACUCGGCGGACUGCUCAGUAUACACGUGGAUAACAUGCCCUUAAGUGGAGGAUAAUCUCGGGAAAUUGAGGAUAAUACUCCGUAGAUCAUGAAAUCUGGAAUGAUUCAUGGUUCAAAGUUCCGGCGCUUAAGGAUUGGUCUGCGGCCUAUCAGGUAGUAGUGGGUGUAACGGACCCACUAGCCGAUGACGGGUAUGGGCCUUGAGAGAGGGAGCCCAGAGAUGGAUUCUGAGACACGAAUCCAGGCCCUACGGGGCGCAGCAGUCGCGAAAACUUCACAAUGGGGGCAACCCCGACGAGGGAAUUCCAAGUGCCAGCACUUUGUGUUGGCUGUUCUCUUGUCUAAAAAACAAGAGGAGUAAGGGGCGGGUAAGACGGGUGCCAGCCGCCGCGGUAAUACCCGCGCCCCAAGUGGUGGUCGAUAUUAUUGAGCCUAAAACGUCCGUAGCCGGUCUUUUAAAUCCUUGGGUAAAUCGGGCAGCUUAACUGUCCGACUUCCGAGGAGACUGGAAGACUUGGGACCGGGAGAGGUCAGAGGUACUUCUGGGGUAGGGGUAAAAUCCUGUAAUCCUGGAAGGACCACCGGUGGCGAAGGCGUCUGACUAGAACGGAUCCGACGGUGAGGGACGAAGCCCUGGGGCGCAAACGGGAUUAGAUACCCCGGUAGUCCAGGGUGUAAACGCUGCGGGCUUGGUGUUGGGGGUCCUUUGUGGGCGCCCAGUGCCGGAGAGAAGUUGUUAAGCCUGCUGCUUGGGGAGUAUGUCCGCAAGGA